CUUUCAGAGGUGGGCUCUUCCGCAGCGCGGGCCUGAGGAGUCGGUGCUCGCGGCGAGUGGCGCCCCCUGACUCUCCACAGAGUGCAACAGUCUGUGUUCCUGGCAGUGCCCUUCAGUACCUGGCCUGGGGUUUCCUCAGAGACAGUGUCCCUGACUUGGGGAUGGACCCCUGUCCCCUCUCACAGCCUCUAAGGUCAGGGAUCUGGCAGAGCCUCCGUUGCCAGGGAGCCGAGGCCGGCCUUUCCUGAGCCCUCGUUUCCAGAUUUGCUCUGGUAGGGACUUCUCCCCACAGGCCGAAGCCUGCAGAAGGAACUGCCUGCGUGCCACUCAAAAUCAGUCCGGCUCUGGGGUUAAGACGUAGUGAUUUUGGUUCUCAUAUACACGUUGUAAAACCACAGAGAAAUUGUGGUUUGAAAUGACUUCCUUCAUACUUCCUCGUAGCAGGACUCAACCUGAUGAUCAGACACUUCGGUGAGAUGUCUGCCUCACCAUGGAGCCCACUGGAGGCGUGAGGGUCCAGUUCUUCCAGAGCAAAAGCUGUAUCUGUUUCACGAAGCCCAUGCUAAUGACCACACGAAGACCAGAUUGAUCAGAGCUGAGGGCCCCCAGACAGCAAAGGACGUAAAUGCUGCUAAGAGUUUCCCGGCUCCAGCCGCUGUGUCCUUCUCCUGACUCUAGACCCCGAGACCUCGAUAGUGAUGGAGGGAGAACCACAGAGAAGAAUGGAUGCUGACUUCAUGGAGUUCAUGGUCUGGUUGUAAACAUGGGACUUGAACUCAAAUCACUCAAGGAGUAUGAUGAGGGCCCACAGGCUAUGCAUGGUGGGCUUCCAAGGAGAGAGAGAUGGUUUCUGCUUACGAUGGCAAAAGGACUCCUUGGAGGUGUGGCAUUUAAGACAAGCUUGCAGAAUUACAAAAUAACAUUUUAUAGUAAGUUUAUGAUAUCUAAACUGCUUUUGCAUGUUAUUUCAUUUCAGCCUCACUACAAUUUUGUGAGGUCCAUAUUUGCUCGGUUUUACAGAUGAGGAACAUGAAGCCUAGUGAGAUUAAGUACUUUGCUCAGGGUCCCAUGUGACAA